rnacentral:rRNA from 1 species
AUGAACCACGUCAAGUCGGCUCUUCUCUCAGGCCACCGCCCGCACCGUCUCGCGGCGGCGGCGCCGCAGCAGCUGGCGGCCACCGCGUCGUUCCACUCCACGCCUCCCCUGCAGCGGAAGCGCAAGACCCAGUGGCAGCACAGGUUCAAUUUUUAUGCAAAACGCAGGAGAAAUAGAGACACAAAAAGAACAAUGAUACGGAAUAUGUCUGAGUAUGCGGAGCAGCUCUUCAAUAGUUGGCGUGAUGAAGAUGAGAAAAAAGAUGCAUCUAGUGGACCUUCAUGGUUUAGAGGACACCGUUGGGUCAGAGAUUCGAGGAAUAAUGGUUUCCGUUCACAUGAGUUUUAUUACGAUACUGUCAAAAGCAGGGGGGGAUUUGAGUUUUGCACAAGCGAUGAUGAUGAUGAACCAGAGACUGUUUUUCGCAAUGCUUUUCGUGGGAACCAGCACACAUAUUAUUGGUCUUUUGAAUCUGAUGAUUUUCCAAGAAGGAAUUCAAGACGUUCUCAUUCAGAAAGUUCUGGACACUGGAGUUAUGAAACAGACGACGAGGGCGAAAUAUCCACCCAGACAGAGGUAUCUGUGGCGUGUAAGGCUCUUGGAUUGAGUACUUCUGGCCCACUAAAACUCGAAGAUGUUAAAAGCGCAUACCGGACGUGUGCGCUUAGAUGGCAUCCAGAUCGUCAUCAUGGCUCAUCGAAGGCUACCGCAGAGGAGAAAUUCAAACGAUGCAGUGCAGCAUACCAGACUCUGUGUGAUAGUUUGGCUACUGCAUAA